UUUCUGUAUCCAAAUCUCAAGUAGGAGAUUCCACUGGCAGUAUUACUUUAUCUUCUGCCAAUCAUGUAUAUAUGAUCAUUGGGUAACUAUUAUCUGAGCACCAAACUGUCUGUGAUUUAAUAUUUUGGUAGUUGUGUUUUUGUUUUUUGUUUCUGUGUCUGUAUAAUAUAUAGAUCAUAAUAUAAUAGUAACUCAGAGUUAUGCCCUGUGCUCAAACGUCUACAAUGGCUCUUAAAGAAUAAGCUCACCUCCCAUGUCUUAGCCAAUAUAUAGACUGUAGAUUCGCGUGUAUGAAAAAUUUCGGCAUUCAGCAAACCGUGCCAGUCUUCUGUUGCGUAGAAAACAUGGUUCUUGCAUAACCCCUACUUUAAGUGGACUGGAGGGAGAACCUGAAUAUCGAACUAUCUAUCUUGCUGCUCAGGGUCCUGAAUCACACUGGCUGCAUAUAUUAGUACUUUAAAAUAUC